GAUGAACGCUAGCUAUAGGCUUAACACAUGCAAGUCGAGGGGAAACGGCAUUAUGUGCUUGCACAUUCUGGACGUCGACCGGCGCACGGGUGAGUAUCGCGUAUCCAACCUUCCCUCCACUCGGGGAUACCCCGUUGAAAGACGGCCUAAUACCCGAUGUUGUCCACAUAUGGCAUCUGACGUGGACCAAAGAUUCAUCGGUGGAGGAUGGGGAUGCGUCUGAUUAGCCUGUUGGUGCGGGUAACGGCCCACCAAGGCGACGAUCAGUAGGGGUUCUGAGAGGAAGGUCCCCCACAUUGGAACUGAGACACGGUCCAAACUCCUACGGGAGGCAGCAGUGAGGAAUAUUGGUCAAUGGACGUAAGUCUGAACCAGCCAAGUAGCGUGCAGGAUUGACGGCCCUAUGGGUUGUAAACUGCUUUUGUUGGGGAGUAAAGUGAGGCACGCGUGCCUUUUUGCAUUUACCCUUCGAAUAAGGACCGGCUAAUUCCGUGCCAGCAGCCGCGGUAAUACGGAAGGUCCAGGCGUUAUCCGGAUUUAUUGGGUUUAAAGGGAGUGUAGGCGGUCUGUUAAGCGUGUUGUGAAAUUUAGGUGCUCAACAUUUAACUUGCAGCGCGAACUGGCGGACUUGAGUGCACGCAACGUAUGCGGAAUUCGUGGUGUAGCGGUGAAAUGCUUAGAUAUCAUGACGAACUCCGAUUGCGAAGGCAGCGUACGGGAGUGUUACUGACGCUUAAGCUCGAAGGUGCGGGUAUCGAACAGG
rnacentral:rRNA from 1 species